rnacentral:pre_miRNA from 1 species
CAUAUACUCCCUCCGUCCGGAAAUACUUGUCAUUGAAAUGGAUGUAUCUAUAUGUAUUUUAGUUAUAGAUACAUCCAUUUUGAUGACAAGUAUUUCCGAACGGAGGGAGUACAUC